AACGAACGCUGGCGGCAGGCCUAACACAUGCAAGUCGAGCGGACCCUUCGGGGUUAGCGGCGGACGGGUGAGUAACGCGUGGGAACGUGCCCUUUGCUUCGGAAUAGCCCUGGGAAACUGGGAGUAAUACCGGAUACGCCCUUUUGGGGAAAGAUUUAUCGGCGCAGGAUCGGCCCGCGUUGGAUUAGGUAGUUGGUGGGGUAAUGGCCUACCAAGCCGACGAUCCAUAGCUGGUUUGAGAGGAUGAUCAGCCACACUGGGACUGAGACACGGCCCAGACUCCUACGGGAGGCAGCAGUGGGGAAUCUUAGACAAUGGGGGAAACCCUGAUCUAGCCAUGCCGCGUGAGCGAUGAAGGCCUUAGGGUUGUAAAGCUCUUUCACCGGGGAAGAUAAUGACGGUACCCGGAGAAGAAGCCCCGGCUAACUCCGUG
rnacentral:rRNA from 1 species